GAUGAAGAACGCAGCGAAAUGCGAUAAGUAAUGUGAAUUGCAGAAUUCAGUGAAUCAUCGAGUCUUUGAACGCACAUUGCGCCCCCUGGUAUUCCGGGGGGCAUGCCUGUCCGAGCGUCAUUGCUGCCCCCAAGCACGGCUUGUGUGUUGGGCCCCCGUCCCCGGUUUCCCCCGGGGACGGGCCCGAAAGGCAGCGGCGGCACCGCGUCCGGUCCUCGAGCGUAUGGGGCUUUGUCACCCGCUCUGUAGGCCCGGCCGGCGCCAGCCGACACCCAACUUUAUUUCUAAGGUUGACCUCGGAUCAGGUAGGGAUACCCGCUGAACUUAAGCAUAUCAAUAAGCGGAGGA
rnacentral:misc_RNA from 1 species